AACCUGAUCACUGUGCCAGAGGAGUGUGGCAUACAUCCAUUAAUUGUAUAAAAGAGAUGAAGAAGGUUGAAAGAGAAAGGUUGAAGCAACAGUGUUAAGAAGAGAAACUCAAAGAAAAAUGAAACCGUAGUGGGCAAAACUGUGGUUUAUAAGUGUGAUCAUUCUCCAUCAUUCGGUUUCCAGCUUCCUUAACUUUUAUUCCUCCUUUGCUCUAU